AUUCCAGCUCCAAUAGCGUAUAUUAAAGUUGUUGCAGUUAGAACGCUCGUAGUCGGAUUUCGGGGCAGUCCGACCGGUCUGCCGAUGGGUAUGCACUGGCCGGAGUGUCCUUUUUGCCGGAGACCGUGCCUACUCUUAACUGAGCGGGGGCGGGAGACGGCACUUUUACUUUGAAAAAAUCAGAGUGUUUCAAGCAGGCAGCUCGCUCUUGCAUGGAUUAGCAUGGGAUAAUGAAAUAGGACUUUGGUGCUAUUUUGUUGGUUUCGAACACCGAAGUAAUGAUGAGAAGGGACAGUCAGGGGCACUCGUAUUCCGCAGAGAGAGGUGAUAUUCUCAGACCCGCGGAAGACGAACCACUGCGAAAGCAUUUGCCAGGGAUGUUUUCAUUA
rnacentral:rRNA from 1 species